rnacentral:rRNA from 1 species
UACGGAGGUGGCAAGCGUUGUUCGGAAUCACUGGGCGUAAAGGGCGCGUAGGCGGGGAGGUAAGUCGGGUGUGAAAUCCCUCGGCCCAACCGAGGAACUGCGCCCGAGACUGCUUCGCUUGAGUCCCGGAGAGGAAGAUGGAAUUCCCGGUGUAGCGGUGAAAUGUGUAGAGAUCGGGAGGAACACCGGUGGCGAAGGCGGUCUUCUGGACGGUGACUGACGCUGGGGCGCGAAAGCGUGGGGAGCAAACGGG